rnacentral:rRNA from 1 species
AGUCGAACGGAAGUCGUUGUAAUGAAAUGGAAAUGGACAGAGAACUUGUUCGAAGAAAGUUGAAGUAGACUUACAACAAUGGCUUUAGUGGCGGACUGGUGAGUAACGCGUAAGGAACCUGCCUUUUAGAGGGGAAUAACAAUGAGAAAUCAUUGCUAAUACCGCAUAUGCCGAGAGAAUCACAUGGUACAAUCGGGAAAGGAGCAAUCCGCUAAAAGAUGGCCUUGCGUCUGAUUAGAUAGUUGGUGGGGUAACGGCCUACCAAGUCGACGAUCAGUAGCCGAACUGAGAGGUUGAACGGCCACAUUGGGACUGAGAUACGGCCCAGACUCCUACGGGAGGCAGCAGUCGGGAAUAUUGCGCAAUGGAGGAAACUCUGACGCAGUGACGCCGCGUAUAGGAAGAAGGUUUUCGGAUUGUAAACUAUUGUCGUUAGGGAAGAGAAAGGACAGUACCUAAGGAGGAAGCUCCGGCUAACUACGUGCCAGCAGCCGCGGUAAUACGUAGGGAGCGAGCGUUAUCCGGAAUUAUUGGGUGUAAAGGGUGCGUAGACGGGAAGAUAAGUUAGUUGUGAAAUCCCUCGGCUUAACUGAGGAACUGCAACUAAAACUGUUUUUCUUGAGUGCAGGAGAGGUAAGUGGAAUUCCUAGUGUAGCGGUGAAAUGCGUAGAUAUUAGGAGGAACACCAGUGGCGAAGGCGACUUACUGG